rnacentral:rRNA from 1 species
CGGAGGGUGCAAGCGUUAUCCGGAUUCACUGGGUUUAAAGGGUGCGUAGGAGGGCAGGUAAGUCAGUGGUGAAAUCUCCGAGCUUAACUUGGAAACUGCCAUUGAUACUAUCUGUCUUGAAUAUUGUGGAGGUGAGCGGAAUAUGUCAUGUAGCGGUGAAAUGCUUAGAUAUGACAUAGAACACCAAUUGCGAAGGCAGCUCGCUACACAUAUAUUGACUCUGAGGCACGAAAGCGUGGGGAUCAAACAGGAUUAGAUACCCUGGUAGUCCACGCCCUAAACUAUGGAUACUCGACAUACGCGAUACACUGUGUGUGUCUGAGCGAAAGCAUUAAGUAUCCCACCUGGGAAGUACGACCGCAAGGUUG